GUGGGGAAUAUUGGACAAUGGGCGCAAGCCUGAUCCAGCCAUGCCGCGUGAGUGAUGAAGGCCCUAGGGUUGUAAAGCUCUUUCACCGGAGAAGAUAAUGACGGUAUCCGGAGAAGAAGCCCCGGCUAACUUCGUGCCAGCAGCCGCGGUAAUACGAAGGGGGCUAGCGUUGUUCGGAAUUACUGGGCGUAAAGCGCACGUAGGCGGAUAUUUAAGUCAGGGGUGAAAUCCCGGAGCUCAACUCCGGAACUGCCUUUGAUACUGGGUAUCUCGAGUAUGGAAGAGGUGAGUGGAAUUCCGAGUGUAGAGGUGAAAUUCGUAGAUAUUCGGAGGAACACCAGUGGCGAAGGCGGCUCACUGGUCCAUUACUGACGCUGAGGUGCGAAAGCGUGGGGAGCAAACAGGAUUAGAAACCCGUGUAGUCC
rnacentral:rRNA from 1 species